rnacentral:rRNA from 1 species
GAUGAACGCUGGCGGCGUGCCUAAUACAUGCAAGUCGAGCGAACAGAUGAGGAUCUUGCUCCUCUGACGUUAGCGGCGGACGGGUGAGUAACACGUGGAUAACCUACCUAUAAGACUGGGAUAACUUCGGGAAACCGGAGCUAAUACCGGAUAAUAUAUUGAACCGCAUGGUUCAAUAGUGAAAGACGGUUUUGCUGUCACUUAUAGAUGGAUCCGCGCCGCAUUAGCUAGUUGGUAAGGUAACGGCUUACCAAGGCAACGAUGCGUAGCCGACCUGAGAGGGUGAUCGGCCACACUGGAACUGAGACACGGUCCAGACUCCUACGGGAGGCAGCAGUAGGGAAUCUUCCGCAAUGGGCGAAAGCCUGACGGAGCAACGCCGCGUGAGUGAUGAAGGUCUUCGGAUCGUAAAACUCUGUUAUUAGGGAAGAACAAAUGUGUAAGUAACUAUGCACGUCUUGACGGUACCUAAUCAGAAAGCCACGGCUAACUACGUG